AUUGAACGCUGGCGGAAUGCUUUACACAUGCAAGUCGAACGGCAGCACGGGGGCAACCCUGCUGGUGAGUUGCGAACGGGUGGGUAAUACAUCGGAACGUGCCCAGUCGUGGGGGAUAACGUAGCGCAAGAUACGCUAAUACCGCAUACGAUCUACGGAUGAAAGCGGGGGACCGUAAGGCAUCGCGCGAUUCACGCGGCCGCUGUCAGAUUAGGUAGUUGGUGAGGUAAAGGCUCACCAAGCCGACGAUCUGUAGCUGGUCUGAGAGGACGACCAGCCACACUGGGACUGAGACACGGCCCAGACUCCUACGGGAGGCAGCAGUGGGGAAUUUUGGACAAUGGGCGCAAGCCUGAUCCAGCCAUUCCGCGUGCAGGACGAAGGCCUUCGGGUUGUAAACUGCUUUUGUACGGAACGAAAAGGCUCUGGUUAAUACCUGGGGCUCAUGACGGUACCGUAAGAAUAAGCACCGGCUAACUACGUGCCAGCCGCCGCCGUAA
rnacentral:rRNA from 1 species